ACUGACAAAGGGGACAGAUGGUUAUCAAAGAAAGGAAAUUUAACUGCCCAUUUUGAAGGGAAAGGGCAACAAAAAGAGUUAAACUAGUUGACUGUAAGGCCCUUGAUGAGAAACUCUGGGCAGGAGGGUAAGGAAUAGAGAAAGGAUCCUGAAUACCCCAGAGGAGCCUGUCCUAAGCCCAAAGAACUGUCCUGAACAGUAAGGAAACUGCGGACUUUAAGCUCCAUUGAUCAGCAGUGCUCUGUAAAACAAAGUUUUUCUCAGAUUGAGUGAAUCUAUUUCAUUAUUUAAAAUGACCUUUGGAAUAAAGCCCUACGUUCGUUACAGGCAAGU